AUUCUGGGUAGGAAAGGAAUUGUGGGAGUCUGAACUGAAAAUAACUGAAACUUCACUUCCUUCUUUGAUUUUCCUCUGAGCUAGAAGUGUUUUUGACUCCCUGCCUGAAUUUCCAUCAAGAUGAAGGAGGGUUUUUGCUCUGAGAGAUUCUCCUGGAUAGUCAAGAAAGCUCCAAAUCCUCCAAAAGUUAACAGUUUCUUUACAACUCUUUUCCUCAACAACUACCAGCCUUUUUAUUUCCUGAUAAAGAACAAUGUUGAAAUCAGGCCAAUAACCCUGUAAUGGACUCUUAAGUAUUCAAGUGAAAGGAAGAGUUAACAGAUGUGGCAAAAUUCAUUAUUAUCUUUUUCAGAAAUUGCUAGAUCCACCCUAAACUUCAGUAACCAUCACUUUGACUAGGAAGCAGUCAUCAGCAUCGAGACUCCACUAGUAAAAUGAUUACAACUGGCUGAAAGCUCAGAUGACAGUUAGCAUUGUUUAAGGAAUAUUUUUUAAUUGUUAUAUAAGUUGUUUUCCAAAAUGUAAUAUUGCACCCUUAACAGACUACAAUUUAAUAUACACAUAACUUUAUGUGCACUGGGAAAUAAAAAAAAAUAGGCUGAUGGGCUUUAGUGUGUUAACUCUUUUGUUGUGGACAGGAACAGAACCUACACUACUUCUCAGGUAAGACAUAUAUCAUUGGGGGAGGGGGGAAAUUGGGGACAGAUGUAGUUUGAGCUAUUUGUAUCCAGGAUAUAUAAAAAGCCCUCAGGAUGUUGAGGAGGUCCUCUAUAGCAGCCCUAUGAAAAAACAUGGAUUAGAAUUACAUAGAAAGCAUAAAUUUAUAUUCUGUACCAGAAGAAAGAACACCCACUACUCAGAUCACAGAGCCUUUGAAAUACUGAUAAAUUUCAGAGUUCAAGAAUUUUGGUUUUUCCUUAGUACUAUAGGGAUUGUAUGCUGAGAUCUAAUUUUUCUUUGUUACUUUUAUAUUUUUAAAAAAUUUAUGGCUAGAAAACCCUUUUCACUCUUUGGGGAAGUAAUAGCUCUCAAAUUUUGUUUCAAAAUACUGUACUGGGAGAAAGAAUGGCAAGGAAAGAGAAAUAGAAGUAAAAUAUUUAAAAGUUUGAAAUAUUAUUUACUAUAUUUAAAAAUAAAUAGGAAUUACUGUUUUUAAAUAGAAAACAUUACUGUUGUAUUAGUGUGUAGGUGAGAAAAAUAAUGAGCAACUGAACUAGAGAAGAGGCUGAGUGAAGAGAAGGGGGUGAAUAUGAGCUUUACUGUAGAUAGAAUUUAUACCACUAAUUUGAUGUGAAGAGUGAGGGAGAAGGAAGAAUUGAGAAUGAAUGAAAAGGAUGUGAACUAGGAUGACUGAAAGGAAGGUGAUGUCCUUAAUAGAAACAAGGUAGAAAAAGAUGGGAAUCUGAGUCCAAAAAUAAAGAAACUCCAAUAGGAAAUAAAGCUAUAUUCCUCAUUAUAAGAAAUGCUAUAUAAAUAAGUAUAACUGACUCUCCCUGCAUAUGCUUUUACAUAUAAGAACUCUAAUUUUUAAAACAUACACACACACACACACACACACACACACACACACACACACACACUCACUCACACACUCACAAAUACUGACCAGAAUGAGUAAUGGAUGAAAACAAUCAUAUCUAUUAAUAUCUAAAAAAGAUUAUACUCUUAGCUUGAAUAGAGAUAAUAGGAAUUUUAAUGUUUACUAUAAAUCUGAGAAAGAAAAUGGCUAAAUAAAAGAUGUGUGCAGUAUAUUCAGUUCCCAAUUCUCUAGUUUGUCAUAAGUUACUAUAGCAACUACUGAAUAGAGCAAAAGAUGCAUGAAACAUUAACUUUCAACAAAUCAGCCAGCCUCUCACAUAAAAAAACAAAGUAUUUCAUCAUGUGAAUAAAAAAUAACCCUUGAAAGAACAGCAUUUUGUAAAGUCACAUUGCUCAGAAAUUUAGCACUGUAGCUAAUAAGUAUUUAUUGCCAUGGGAAUACCAUAUCACUUGAGCACAAACACAACCAAUGAUUUUACAUGCACAAUUGGGUACUAAGCAGCAGGUAUAUGAAUUCUUUAUCGAUUAUACCUUUGCAUAAAUAUAAACAACAGGGUAUAGACUAGCAUAAAUUUAAAUGUAACCAUAACAUUUAACAUUUGUCUUUAAUAUUUUUUCAUAGAUUUUCCUUUUAAACAAGCACUUUUAAAUAGUAUAAAAUUUAGCAAAUCUCUAAAUUUUCAUGAAGGAUUAUAAACUUUUUACUUUUUUUUUUCAGUAGAGUGAUGACAGAUAGGAAGGAAAGCUAAAAAAAUAAUAGAAUAGGCAGAGCAGAAAAGACAUUAAGAUAAGGAAUUGUAAAUAUACCUAUAUCUAUGUAUCUAUCCAAAGAUACACACACAGACUCAUUUCUUUUUUUUUUAACUGACCAAAUCACCUCUAGAUCUAUAUAUUUUGCUCAGUAUUGUAGCAACAGACCAUGAGUCCUCUCACAUUUCAAAUAAAUUGAAAAAAAAAAUUAAGCCUUCCAAAAUUAGGUAGCAUUAUUAUUAUUAUUUUUUAAACUGGGCUCCCUUCCUUUAAGUAGGCUUAGUUCAUCAACCACUAAAAAGUUUGAUUCCAUUACUGAUCUACAAGGGAGUUUUGACCUACUCUAUUUCUGAUCUAUGCUAUGUCUUCUGUCCUUAGCAGUCUGAUAUCCAUUCUGUCCCUCUUUCAACCAUAUUAGUGCCACAGGCACAUCAAAUUGGCUUAAGAUCCAUUGCAUCUCAGAACAGAAGUCAAGUAAUUCAUUCACCCAAUCUGAUAGCAAGUAUUACAGGUAUAGAACUGUCAUAGUGGAAUUAAUUGUCAUAAAUUACAAUGAGGAUGAAAAUGCUUUGUAAUUAAAAGUUAUGACAAAAUUAAAAUUACUGAUAACCAGUUUUAGUUACUUUUAAAAAUUAUUAUUAUUUUAAGUCCUUACCGUCUGUCUAAGGCAGAAGAGCAGAAAGGGCUAGGCAAUGGGUGUUAAAGUGACUUGCCCAGGGUCACACAGGCAUGAAGUGUCUGGGCCACAUUUGAACCCAGGACCUCCCAUCUCUCGGCCUGGCUCUCAAUCCACUGAGCCAUGUAGCUGUCCCCAGUUUUAGUUGCUUUUGACCUCCAAGUCUAUUGAUUUUCUAUUUAAACUUUUUUAGAAUCAAUACUAAAUAUUAUUUCCUAUGCAGAAGAGUGGUAAGGACUAGGCAAUGGAAUUAAAUGACUUGCCCAAGGUCACACAACUAGGAAGUAUCUGGUGCCACAUGUGAAUCUAGGACCUCCCAUCUCCAGGCCUGGUUCUUAAUCCACUGAGACACUUAGCUGCCUUAGGGACAGGGGAAGGUGUGAAAGGGAAUUCUUUAUUCUCUUUGUCUAUUUUGAGUUAACACUUGUGAAAGGGAACUCUUGAUUCUCUUUGUCUAUUUUGAGUUAACACUUGGUUAACACUAACUUAAGUACCCCUACUUAAUACAUCACCAGACUGUGAAGUAUGAAUCAGACUUUCUUUUAAUACCUUAGUACUUUACCAGACACUGGGCAAGAGUGUUUUUAGCAAGUCAUUUGCUGAAGUGGGUAACAACUCAAUCAGUCAGGAAACUGUCAAUCCUUUUGAUUGGAGUUAACACCUCCAGAGGAUAAGAAGUGGAUCCCCCAAGACACUACCCCCUUUCCUCUUGGCAGUGCUGCACAAUUUGAAAGCUGUGAUUGGCCCCCGUGAAGAGGGGAAGGGACAAGAGGUGACUAUAAAAGCACUGAAUUUCUGGGGCUUGAGGUUGGCUUCAGGAGUCUUCCUCAACAGGUCGCCGUCUUCAGCUUGAACUGCCUCUUGGAGGGAACUUGGGUGAGUGAAUAGCUGGCUUU